UGGAGCAGGCUCAGCAGGGGCUGCUGGCAAGGGAGUGCAGCUAAGUCCCCUGCUAUUUCUGCAAGGGAUGAUAUGGAAAGUUGGAUGGGGCGGGGGAAUAAGCAGUGCAUUUUUAAAACGCGCUUUUAAAACAUACCAGCAUGGAUCCCACAUACCCACUUACAUCUCACCGUGCAAAGAGGUUUGCUGCAGCCGUUAAUCCAUCUUGGUGUUCAUACGGAGCUUUUAAGGAAGUUGUACCCGUCAGCACCUGCUGAGGGCUUCGUUGACCAAACUGACAGAUGGCUUUUGGAGAAUUUGGCAGUCUUGUUCUUAUUGGAUUAUGGGGCACCACUUUCAGAUAAAAACAUGGACCUGAUUGGCAUCAUCCAGUAUCCAUAGAAACCCUGCUGCGACUGUCUCCCGAUCUACCCUGGCAUCCCCCUCGCAGAGGCUGGCACAGAUUAGGCGGAGAAAGAAAAGGACACAGGACGACAUGUUCUCAGAACUUAUGGGCUGCUCCCGAGCCGAUGCGGCCCAGCAGACCCAGUGGAGGGAGAACAUGUCGCAAUACCAGCGAGCACACAGCAAACGGGAGGAGAGGUGGUGGCAGGAAGACCAGCAGGCGACUCAAACGCUGCUUGGACUAAUGAGGGAGCAAACAGACACGCUCCGGCGCCUUGUGGAUGUUCUGCAGGACCGGAGACAGGAGGACAGAGCUCUGCUGCAGUCUAUCUCUAACCGCCCUCCCCCGCCACAAACUCCCAUACCCCCCUCACCCAAAGUCCCAAGAAGGAGGGGUGGCAGGGGCCGUGAAAACUGUCACUCCACCCCUGCAGACUUCUCAAGUACCAGAAGGCUCUCAUUCCCAAAAAUUUGAUAAGUCCUUUCCUUCCCGCCUCACCCAAGCCCCCGUCCCAGUUUCAUCCCCUAACUGUAUAGUUGCUAAUAAAAGAUACGUUUCUGUUAA